rnacentral:misc_RNA from 1 species
GAUGAAGAACGUAGCGAAAUGCGAUAAGUAAUGUGAAUUGCAGAAUUCAGUGAAUCAUCGAAUCUUUGAACGCACAUUGCGCCCGCCAGCACUCUGGCGGGCAUGCCUGUCCGAGCGUCAUUUCAACCCUCGCGCCGUCCCUCCAGGGGGCUCGGCGCGGUGUUGGGGGACACGGCCUCGGCCGCCCCCGAAAUGCAGUGGCGACCCCGCCGCGGCCCCUCCAGCGCAGUAAGCACGCUCGCUACGGGAGGCCCGGUGGACGCGUCCGCCGUAAAACGCCCAACUCUUCAGAAGUUGACCUCGGAUCAGGUAGGGAUACCCGCUGAACUUAAGCAUAUCAAUAAGCGGAGGA